rnacentral:rRNA from 1 species
UACGUAGGGUGCGAGCGUUGUCCGGAAUUACUGGGCGUAAAAGGAGCUCGUAGGUGGUUUGUCGCGUUGGUCCGUGAAAAACUCACAACUUCAAUUGUGGGCGUGCGGGCGAUACGGGCAGACUGGAGUACUGCAGGGGAGACUGGAAUUCCUGGUGUAGCGGUGGAAUGCGCAGAUAUCAGGAGGAACACCGGUGGCGAAGGCGGGUCUCGUGGGCCGAUACUGACGCUGAGGAGCGAAAGCGUAGGGGAGCGAACAGG